AGGAAAUUUUGCACAGGGUAGCCCCUUGAGGAAAGCCAUAGAGUUAAUGAAGCCAGGUUGCCCAGCAACAAUGUUACUCCCCCUGCCCUCUGGUUACAUCAUAAAUGCUUUUGUGCUCCAACCACAGGGACAACACAAAGAUCUGCCCCUACUCCCACACGGAUCAGAUCAGUUCAGUUCAGUUCAGUCGCUCAGUCGUGUCGGACUCUUUGGGACCCUAUGGACUGCAGCAUGCUACGCCUCCCUGUUCAUCACCAACUCCCGGAGUUUACUCAAACUCAUGUCCAUCGAGUCUGUGAUGCCAUCCAACCAUCUCAUCCUCUGUUGUCUCCUUCUCCUCCUGCCUUCAAUCUUUGCCAGAAUCAGGGUCUUUUCAAAUGAGUCAAGUUCUUUGCAUCAGGUGGCCAAAGUAUUGGAGUUUCAGCUUCAGCAUCAGUCCUUCCAAUGAAUAUUCAGGACUGAUUUCCUUUAGGAUGGACUGGUUGGAUCCCCUUGCAGUCCAAGGGACUCUCAAGAGUCUUCUCCGACACCACAGUUCAAAGGCAUCAAUUCUUCGGCACUCAGCUUUCUUUAUAGUCCAACUCUCACAUCCGUAUAUGACUACUGGAAAAACCAUAGCUUUGACUAGAUGGACUUUGUUAGCAAAGUAAUGUCUCUGCUUUUUAAGCUAUCUAGGUUGGUCAUGCUUUUCUUCCAUGGAGCAAGCAUCUUUUAAUUUCAUGGCUGCAUUCACCAUCUGCAGUGAUUUUGGAGCCCCCCAAAAUAGUCUGUCACUGUUUCCACUGUUUCCCCAUCUCUUUGCCAUGAAGUGAUGGGACCAGAUGCCAUGAUCUUAGUUUUCUGAACUAAAGGUCAGAAUACUCCAUACCUAAAAGUCUCGUUGGUUCUGGAUAGCCUUAAGGGGCCAGGGCAGGGCUCCUCUCUAGUCCUGGAAGAUCCCCAAGCCAGUGACUGUCCUGAGUCUGGGCAAGUCUAGAACGAAAACAGAAUUCUGACCCAGCUGGAGCAGGUAUAGAACUUUGGAACCAAGCUGAUCUCAUCUUACUUACUCAUGCCCAAGUCGGAGAAGGCAAUGGCGACCGACUCCAGUAUUCUUGCCUGGAAAAUCCCAUGGACGGAGGAGCCUGGUAGGCUGCAGUCCAUGGGGUCGCUAAGAGUCUAACACAGCUGAGCAACUUCACUUUCACUUUUCACUUUCAUGCAUUGGAGAAGGAAAUGGCAACACACUCCAGUGUUUUUGCCUGGAGAAUCCCAGGGACUGAGGAGCCUGGUAAGCUGCCAUCUAUGGGGUCCCACAGAGUCAGACACGACUGAAGUGACUUAGCAGCAGCAGCAGCAUGCCCAAGUAUGAGACCAGAAUGGCUCCUUUACUAUGAAAAUGUAAUCCUGAUGAGAGAACUAGGCUCAAAACCAUAUUCCACAUCCUGUGGAAGUCCAGAACCCUGCAGGGAUAUCUGGGAGCUCCAAGCAGCCUCUUUUCCUGUGAUCACCUCUGGCUCCUGCCUCUGCUUCUGGGCUGCUGUCUCAGUUCUACACUGUUUCAACCCCAGUGGGAAAUGUAGACCCUUAAUAUCCACCAAAAACCUUUGUAAUACUCCUGCACCAUUGUAGUAAGGCUUCCCUGAUGACUCAGAGGGUAAAGAAUCUGCCUGCGAUGCAGAGGACCUGGGUUCGAUCCCUGGGUAGGAAAGAUUCCCUGGAGAAGGAAAUGUCAACCCACUGCAGUAUUCUUGCCUGGGAAGUUUCAUGGACAAGAAGUGCCUGCCUUCCUGGGAAGUAUCCAUUUCAAGGGGAAAGGCAGUUGAAUACUGGAAGAUGGGAUACAAAUAAGACCAGCAUUCUCACCAGCCAGAUAGAGGCAUGAACCACUUCUGCUGUUAAAUUCUGAAUUCCUCUUGGUGAGGGAACAAAUAAGAUGAGAAAGCCAAAGCAUGUGAAUAUGGAGACUUUGCAACCACGAAUCAUCUUCUAUCUGUGUGCUUAAUCUGGAUAUGUCAUGUAAAAGAAAUGACACAAUAUGUGAUUUUUUUGUCACUUUGGCCACCUGAUGUGAAGAGCUGACUCAUUGGAAAAGACCCUGAUGCUGGGAAAGAUUGAAAGUGAAAGGAGAAGAGGGCAGCAGAAGAUGAGAUGAUUAGAUAACAUCACUGACUCAAUGGACAUGAAUUUGCGCAAACUCUGGGAGAUAGUGGAGGACAGAGGAGCCUGGCAUGUUGCAGUCCAUGGAGUCACAAAGAGUUGGGAGUGAAUCAGUGACUGAAUAACAACAACUUGCACUCAGCAUAAUCCCUUUAAGAUUCAUCCAUGCUAUAGCAUUUAUGAGUAUUUUAUUCUUUUUUAGGACCAAAUAAUAUUCCCUUGCAUGAAUAUACAAUUUAUUUAUGCAUUUAGCAGAUGUUAGACAUUUAGGUUUCUCUGCUUUUUUGGCUAUGACAAAUAAUGUUGCUAUGAAACAGUGUGUACAAAUGCUUGUGUGGACAUAUGUUUCCAUUUCUCUUGAAUAUACACUUAUGACUACAGUUGCUGGAUUUUAUGGUAGCUCUAUGUUUAACCUUUUGAGAAACUACUAGGCUGUUUUUCAAAGCAGUUGCACCAUUUAACAUUCCACCAGCAGUGCAUAUGGGUUCUAAUUUCUCCACUUGCUUGCCAUUGCUUGUUUUCUUGAUUUUAGCCAUCCUAAUGAGUGUGAGGUAGGAUCUCUUUAUGGUUUUGAUGUGCAUUUCCCUCACAUCUAAUGAUGAUCUUCUUUGGAGAAAUAUCUUUUCAAAUCCUUUGUCUAUUUUUAAAUUGGG
ensembl:lncRNA